rnacentral:rRNA from 1 species
AUUUUAAGCGACUUAGGUUUAUCCAAAAACGCUUAUUUUGCUAGUGGCCACCACAAUUUAUUUCAUAACUUUGACCUCAAAUCAGGUAGGACUACCCGCUGAACUUAAGCAUAU